GACGAACGCUGGCGGCGUGCCUAAUACAUGCAAGUCGAGCGAUGAAGAUUGGUGCUUGCACCAAUUUGAAGAGCAGCGAACGGGUGAGUAACGCGUGGGGAAUCUGCCUUUGAGCGGGGGACAACGUUUGGAAACGAAUGCUAAUACCGCAUAAUAACUUUAAACAGAAGUGGGAAGUGUGAAAGAGGCAAUUGCAUCACGCAAAGAGGAUCCCGCGUUGUAUUAGCUAGUUGGCGAGGUAAAGGCUCACCAAGGCGAUGAUCCAUAGCCGACCUGAGAGGGUGAUCGGCCACAUUGGGACUGAGACACGGCCCACACUCCUACGGGAGGCAGCAGUAGGGAAUCUUCGGCAAUGGACGAAAGUCUGACCCAGCAACGCCGCGUGCGUGAAGAAGGUUUUCGGAUCGUAAAACUCUGUUGGUAGAGAAGAACGUUGGUGCGAGUGGAGAGCUCUUCAAGGGACGGUAACUACCCAGAAGGGGACGCUUAACUCCGG
rnacentral:rRNA from 1 species